rnacentral:lncRNA from 1 species
GGUGGCUCCUCUCUCCAUAAGUGCUUACAUGACUGCGGCAAGAAAAGACAGCACCAGAGAGUCUGCACCAACAGAGAAAUGCCUGAGCCAAGACCAGAGAUUUCUGCUCACAACCCACUGCUCGAAACUAUCUCAUGACCCUGUCAAACGGCAAGGACCAAAAAGCAUGGCCGCUCCCUUCUUACUGGCCAUUAGGACACAAGGUCCGUGAGGACAUGAUUCUUUUUCUUUUUCUUUUGUCUUUUUUGCCAUUUCUUAGGCUGCUCCCACAGCAUAUGGAGAUUCCCAGGCUCGGGGUCGAGUCGGAGCUGUAGCCACCAGCCUACACCAGAGCCACAGCAACGCGGGAUCCGAGCCACGUCUGCAACCUACACCACAGCUCACGGCAACGCCGGAUCCUUAACCCACUGAGCAAGGCCAGGGAUGGAACUGGAUUCAUUAACCCCUGAGCCAUGACGGGAACUCCGAGGACGUGGUUCUGACGCCUUGUCCACGACUACACCCUUCGUUUAGAAGAGGACCUGGGCACAUAACACUCAUUCAAUUCAAUGAAUGAAUGCAGUGCCAGCGAGAAACCCACACGUCCACCUUGGGAGGAGAGCGAGCCCCAGGGCUGUAAGGCUGAGGGUGCUGGGCAAGAGCUCUGCAGACCAGAGCCUCAGAGCUGGCUGUGCUUAAGAAAGGACACGUGCUCUGGGUCCUCUCAGGGAAGACGACGACAUCCGGCUGGAACACCAGACCAACAGCCCAGCUGGCUUACACCAUAAACCUCCGAAGCCAAGCACCAAAUCAACCAAGGGAAUCACCGCCACCACUGCCCGGCUCCUGGAAGGAGCUGCAACAGCCACAGGAGCAUCUGCUUCUUCACGGCAGUCAGGCCCCCAGCGUAUCCCGGGGACCCGGGGAAUCACCGCCACCACUGCCCGGCUCCUGGAAGGAGCUGCAACAGCCACAGGAGCAUCUGCUUCUUCACGGCAGUCAGGCCCCCAGCGUAUCCCGGGGACCCGGGGAAAGGGAAGGAAAUGCACACAGACUGAGGCUCUGCUGUUGGCCCGGCUGGCAGGUGCUUUUUCCUUCAUCAGUCCCUCUCUCCCCACAAAGACCCUGAGUUGAGGGUUACCUCCAGUGCUUAGAGAGAGCGGAGACUUAAGAGUGGUUCAGGAACCAACCCAGAAACACGGAUGCUUUACAAGCUAGAAAGAGAUACAACACAACGUCAUCCGGCCUGGCUGUGCAGAGAUCACACACAGGUCAGGCCUGCCUGACAAGCUAAGUGACAGCCACAGCCCUGCUGGCAACGGGGUCUUCACAAGCCUCCGUUAUCUCUUCAAGCCCUAAUGUCCCUAUCUGUAAAGGGAAGACAGCAUUUGACCCCAUUCCCGAUUAUACCUGAAGCUCUCACAGGGACACAUCUGAGUCACUGUCGCAGAGAAGAGGGUGUUACAAGACAACCCACAGCCUCCAAAGGCUUUCGGCAGUCUAUCGAAUGGGUCAGCCAGGGCUACUGGUA